UCGACGGCAGCACGGGAGCAAUCCUGGUGGCGAGUGGCGAACGGGUGAGUAAUGUAUCGGAACGUACCUUUCAGUGGGGGAUAACGUAGCGAAAGUUACGCUAAUACCGCAUAUUCUGUGAGCAGGAAAGCAGGGGAUCGCAAGACCUUGCGCUGAUUGAGCGGCCGAUAUCAGAUUAGCUAGUUGGUGAGGUAAAGGCUCACCAAGGCGACGAUCUGUAGCGGGUCUGAGAGGAUGAUCCGCCACACUGGAACUGAGACACGGUCCAGACUCCUACGGGAGGCAGCAGUGGGGAAUUUUGGACAAUGGGGGCAACCCUGAUCCAGCCAUGCCGCGUGAGUGAAGAAGGCCUUCGGGUUGUAAAGCUCUUUCAGCCGGGAAGAAAUCACAUGGGUUAAUACCCUGUGUGGAUGACGGUACCGGAAUAAGAAGCACCGGCUAACUACGUGCCAGCAGCCGCGGUAAUACGUAGGGUGCGAGCGUUAAUCGGAAUUACUGGGCGUAAAGCGUGCGCAGGCGGUUUGUUAAGAUAGGCGUGAAAUCCCCGGGCUCAACCUGGGAACUGCGUUUAUGACUGGCAGGCUAGAGUAUGGCAGAGGGGGGUGGAAUUCCACGUGUAGCAGUGAAAUGCGUAGAGAUGUGGAGGAACACCGAUGGCGAAGGCAGCCCCCUGGGCCAAUACUGACGCUCAUGCACGAAAGCGUGGGUAGCAAACAGGAUUAGAUACCCUGGUAGUCCACGCCCUAAACGAUGUCAACUAGGUGUUGGGUGGGUAAAACCAUUUAGUACCGGAGCUAACGCGU
rnacentral:rRNA from 1 species